rnacentral:rRNA from 1 species
AUUGAACGCUGGCGGCAGGCCUAACACAUGCAAGUCGAGCGAGCGGCGGACGGGUGAGUAAUGUCUGGGAAACUGCCUGAUGGAGGGGGAUAACUACUGGAAACGGUAGCUAAUACCGCAUACCAUCAGAUGUGCUCAGAUGGGAUUAGCUCGUGGGUGGGGUAACGGCUCACCUAGGCGACGAUCCCUAGCUGGUCUGAGAGGAUGACCAGCCACACGGGAAUGGAUACCCGGUCCAGACUCCUACGGGGGGCAGCGGUGGGGAAUAUUGCACAAUGGGCGCAAGCCUGAUGCAGCCAGGCCGCGGGUGGGAAUAAGGCCUUCGGGUUGUAAGGCACUUUCAGCGGGGAGGCGUUACCCGCGGAAGAAGCACCGGCUAACUCCGUGCCAGCAGCCGCGGUAAUAC